CAGCUCUGCUUCUCUAUUUACAAUCUUUACAUAGUUGUUUCACAAAGGUCAUACAGGAAGCGUCUAUUGGUUGGUAUGUGGCAAGACAUCAUGGAGGUCAGAGCUCUGUGCAUCAGACUGUUGAUAACUGUGCUGAUCCUGCUGUGUGCACAUGCUCAGAAAGUUGAUGCAGUUUCUCUUCGUGUUGUUCCAAACAAAUCCCAGUUUUUUGAACAUGAGUCAGUUAGUUUUUACUGUGAGGAGAGCUCUCAUGGAUAUGUGUUAUAUAAGAAGAACGAGGAAGUAAAGCAAUGCAACAAAACCAGUAGGAAACCAACAGCUUCAACAACAGGUUCACAGUGCACCAUUGAUUGUAUUUAUAGAUAUGACAAUGGAGAAUACUGGUGUGGGACAGCAGGAGGGAAGAGAAGCAACAAUAUCUACAUCACUGUCACUGAUGGUUCUGUGAUCCUGGAGAUUCCU
ensembl:lncRNA